rnacentral:rRNA from 1 species
GACGAACGCUGGCGGCGUGCCUAACACAUGCAAGUCGAACGAAGUGGCGAACGGGUGAGUAACGCGUAAUAAACCUGCCCUUCAGGGGGGGACAACAGUUGGAAACGACUGCUAAUACCGCAUACUGCAGGAGGGGAUUGCGUCGGAUUAGCUAGUGGGAGGGGGAACGGCCCACCAAGGCGAGGCUCAGUAGCCGGGCUGAGAGGCUGAACGGCCACAUUGGGACUGAGACACGGCCCAGACCCCUACGGGAGGGAGCAGUGGGGAAUCUUCCGCAAUGGACGAAAGUCUGACGGAGCAACGCCGCGGGAGUGAUUACGGCCUUCGGGUUGUAAAGCUCUGUUAUUCGGGACGCGGUACCGGAAUAGAAAGCCACGGCUAACUACGUGCCAGCAGCCGCGGUAAUUC